rnacentral:rRNA from 1 species
AGAUUGAACGCUGGCGGCAUGCUUUACACAUGCAAGUCGAACGGUAACAGGCCGCAAGGUGCUGACGAGUGGCGAACGGGUGAGUAAUGCAUCGGAACGUGCCCAGUCGUGGGGGAUAACGCAGCGAAAGCUGUGCUAAUACCGCAUACGAUCUAUGGAUGAAAGCGGGGGACCGAAAGGCCUCGCGCGAUUGGAGCGGCCGAUGUCAGAUUAGCUAGUUGGUGGGUAAAGGCCACCAAGGCGACGAUCUGUAGCUGGUCUGAGAGGACGACCAGCCACACUGGAACUGAGACACGGUCCAGACCUCCUACGGGAGGCAGCAGGUGGGAAUUUGGACAAUGGG